rnacentral:rRNA from 1 species
AACGAACGCUGGCGGCAUGCCUAACACAUGCAAGUCGAACGAGACCGUCGGGUCUAGGGGCGCACGGGUGGGUAACGCGUGGGAACCGGCCCGUAGGUGCGGAAUAACUCCCCGAAAGGGGUGCGAAUACCGGAUAAUGUCUUCGGACCAAAGAUUUAUCGCCUUUGGAUGGGCCUGCGUUGGAGUAGCUAGUUGGUAGGGUAAAAGCCUACCAAGGCGACGAUCCAUAGCUGGUCUGAGAAGAUGAUCAGCCACACUGGGACUGAGACACGGCCCAGACGCCUACGGUAGGCAGCAGUGGGGAAUAUUAGACAAUGGGCGAAAGUCUGAUCCAGCAAUGCCGCGUGAGUGAUGCAGGCCUUAGGGUUGUAAAGCUCUUUUACCCGGGAUGAUAAUGACAGUACCGGGAGAAUAAGCUCCGGCUAACUCCGUG